AGCCAGAGGCCAGCCGGCAGCCAGGCGUGAGGAAGAGGCACAUCCCCUCUCUCCCUCGCCCCCCACCGAUGCCCUCCGCGGGGCUAUGCUGGCUGUACCUGCUGCUGCCUCUGGUCCCAGCCACCCCCGGGGGGGACGGAGAUGUCCCACGUGGCGGUGGCACCGUGGCCAUCCCCUCCUGGAAAGGAGCCCGCUGCACCCACGGCCACAGGCAAGAGAUGCAGAGAGCGUUGGCACUUCCAUGCCCUGUGCGGAUCCUCAUAGCGUGGGAAAGACUCAAGCUGCCGGCAUCCGACCGGGGAUUUAU
rnacentral:lncRNA from 1 species